AUUGAACGCUGGCGGCAGGCCUAACACAUGCAAGUCGAACGAGUGGCGGACGGGUGAGUAAUGUCUGGGAAACUGCCCGCUGGAGGGGGAUAACUACUGGAAACGGUAGCUAAUACCGCAUACCAUCGGAUGUGCCCAGAUGGGAUUAUCUUGUAGGUGAGGUAACGGCUCACCUAGGCGACGAUCCCUAGCGGGUCUGAGAGGAUGACCAGCCACGUAGGAACUGAGACACGGUCGCGACUCCUAUGAGAGGCAGCAGUGGGGAAUAUGGCACAAUGGGCGGAAGCCUGAUGCAGCCAUGCCGCGUGAAUGAAGAAGGCCUUCGGGUUGUAAAGGACUUGCAGCGGGGAGGCGUUACCCGCAGAAGAAGCACCGGCUAACUCCGUGCCAGCAGCCGCGGUAAUUC
rnacentral:rRNA from 1 species